AACGAACGCUGGCGGCAGGCCUAACACAUGCAAGUCGAGCGGACCCUUCGGGGUUAGCGGCGGACGGGUGAGUAACGCGUGGGAAUAUGCCCUUCUCUACGGAAUAGUCCUGGGAAACUGGGGGUAAUACCGUAUACGCCCUUUGGGGGAAAGAUUUAUCGGGGAAGGAUUAGCCCGCGUUGGAUUAGGUAGUUGGUGGGGUAAUGGCCUACCAAGCCGACGAUCCAUAGCUGGUUUGAGAGGAUGAUCAGCCACACUGGGACUGAGACACGGCCCAGACUCCUACGGGAGGCAGCAGUGGGGAAUCUUAGACAAUGGGGGCAACCCUGAUCUGUCCAUGCCGCGUGAGUGAUGAAGGCCUUAGGGUUGUAAAGCUCUUUCAGCUGGGAAGAUAAUGACGGUACCAGCAGAAGAAGCCCCGGCUAACUCCGUG
rnacentral:rRNA from 1 species